AUUAUUUUGGCAGAUUAGUGCAAUGAAUUUAGAAUUCAUAUAUGUAAUUAUUUUACAAAUAAUA
rnacentral:tRNA from 9 species